rnacentral:rRNA from 1 species
AGAAUCAACGCUGGCGGCGUGCCUAACACAUGCAAGUCGAACGCGAAAGGGGCUUCGGCCCUGAUUAGAGUGGCGAACGGGUGAGUAACACGUGGGUGACCUACCUUCGAAUGGGGGAUAACGUCCCGAAAGGGACGCUAAUACCGCAUAACAUCCUGCUUUUGAACAGGUGGAGAUCAAAGCCGGGGAUCGCAAGACCUGGCGUUUGAAGAGGGGCCCGCGUCUGAUUAGCUAGUUGGUGAGGUAACGGCCCACCAAGGCGACGAUCAGUA